rnacentral:rRNA from 1 species
CAGUCGCCGCGGGAAUACGUAGGGUGCAAGCGUUAAUCGGAAUUACUGGGCGUAAAGCGUGCGCAGGCGGUUUGUUAAGACAGAUGUGAAAUCCCCGGGCUCAACCUGGGAACUGCAUUUGUGACUGGCAAGCUAGAGUCUGGCAGAGGGGGGUGGAAUUCCGCGUGUAGCAGUGAAAUGCGUAGAUAUGCGGAGGAACACCGAUGGCGAAGGCAGCCCCCUGGGCCAACACUGACGCUCAUGCACGAAAGCGUGGGGAGCAACAGGAUUAGAUACCCCUGUAGUCCCUGUCUCUUAUACC